rnacentral:rRNA from 1 species
CGGCACGGGGAGGUAGUGACGAUCAAUAACGAUGCGGGACUCUGACGAGGCUCCGUAAUCGUAAUGGGCGUACUUUAAAUCCUUCGACGAGGAUCAAGUGGAGGGCAAGUCUGGUGCCAGCAGCCGCGGUAAUUCCAGCUCCACUAGCGUAUAUUAAAGUUGCUGCAGUUAAAAAGCUCGUAGUCGGAUCUCGGGAUCGUACCCCCUCGGUUUUUGCGGGCCAUGCCUCGAAAGGGGUCGUGGUUUUGCGGGGCCGUUGGGGUCUCAUCCAGAGGGUCUCUGGUAUUUCGCCGGGGUUUUACCCUCUGUGAUGGCCCGCCGUUGCGUUUGAGUGGGUGUCCUUAAUUGGAUGCCCGCUUUCGAACGUGACCAUUUUACCGUGAACAAAUCGGAGUGCUUAAAGCAGGCUCCACCACGCUCGUACGGUAGCGCAUGGAAUAAUGGAAGAGGACCCGCUUCCGCUUCUGUUGGUCUCACGGAGGCAGGUAAUGAUCAAGAGGAACGGACGGGGGCGGAGGUAUGGCUCGGCGAGAGGUGAAAUUCUUGGACCCCAGCCAGACCCUCGAGAGCGAAAGCAUCCGCCAAGGAUGUUUCCAUUGAUCAAGAACGAAAGUCGCGGGAUCGAACGGGAUUAGAUACCCCGGUAGUCGCGACCGUAAACGAUGCCAACCGGGAAUUCAACGGCGUUACUUCCAUGACCCGUCGAGCGCCCGACCCGGGAAACCGAGAGUCUUUGGGUUCCGGGGGGAGUAUGGUUGCAAAGCUGAAACUUAAAGGAAUUGACGGAAGGGCACCACCAGGAGUGGAGCCUG